AGACACUAAAACAGUCAUACCUCUCAAGCGUCAAGUAUCUAAUGGAGAUGGUGUUGGAGGGAAACUCAAAGGAUGCAGCUUUAAGAAAACACAUAAUCUAUGCUAAUCUCUCUCUAAUUUAUGCUUUAAUCUUUCAAGUAAAUCCAUACCCCCUAACAGCAGUGUCCAGUGAAGCAGGAAGUCAAUGGGGACACUGGGAGAAAUGGGGACACAGACACUAGGGACACAGAGACACUAGG